rnacentral:lncRNA from 1 species
AUUGAAAUCAGCAGAGUGUGAAUAAAGCAGUGACCCUUCAUGGUGUGGAAGGGCCUCAUCUAAUCAGUCCAAGACCUUAACAGCAAAGACUGAGGUUCAAAGAUGAAAAAAUUCCACCUCUGUGUGGCCUUCAGAUGCAAGACUGCCACAUCAACUCUCCCCUGAGUCUCCAGACUGAAGCUCUUCCCUGCAAAUUUCAGACUUGUCAACCCCCACAAUGGUAAGAGUCAAUUCCCUAAAUCAAUCUCUCAGCGCCCCCCCCCUCUCUCUGCAUAUAUCCAUCUUAUUGGUUCUGUUUCUCUGGAGAACCCUGACUAAUGCGCCCAGUGAUUCCAAGUCUGAGAAUUAUUAUGUGAUUUAUGACAGUGUUCAGGAGUGAAAGGUAAUUGGUACAUACUCCUGGGGCACCUGAGUAUCUAUUAUUAUUAUUAUUUUGCUGCUUCUUCAGGCUUUGGGUGUGGACUCAUGCCAGCAACUCUCUGGGAGCUUUCAGGCCUUCACCUGGCACUGGGGCUAUAUCAUUGGUCCUCCUUGAUUUAAGGCUUCCAACUUCUUGGACUGGGGAAAGAAAAAUAUAUAUACAUCUUUUUAUUUAAAAUAUAUAUGUAUGUAUUCAUUGUAUUAGAAUAGAACUAAUUCUAGAGAAAUCUAAUAUAUCCAGCCCCUUAGGAUUCAAAAGAAACUUAAGGUAUGGGAUGGAGGGUGUGAUAAAUGUUAAGCAUUGAGCUCAGCUGCUGUCAAUCAACACAGCUAAAAAAUAAGGCAGGGGCUGGAGCAUCUCUGAUGAGAAGCUAACAGCAGGAGACAUCCAAAAGGGAGCUUCGUCUUUGAAACACAAUGUAAACCAAAUCUGUUCCUUUCUGGUUUAAGAAGCACAUGUGACAUAGAUGGGGUCCAAAAAGAGAUGGAAACUAUUGUUUUAAGAUGCUAAAAUCUGUAAAGAUGAGUCUUGGGUUGGCAAAGAAUAAAUGAUGAGAAACCCUCUCAGAUCAGAGACUGCUCAUUCAAUAACGCCAUCCAGACCCAUCAGUCACCACUACUUUCCCCCAAAGUCCCAUGGACAUGAUCAAAAGGGAAAGCUGCAUCAGCUCAAAACCAGAGACAGGAGUUCCCCGGGGCCCUGAGACCUUAAAGAAAAGCAGCAAUGGAGCAAGACUGCAAGAAGGGCUCAGAAAGCCAUGGUUGGUGAUGACCAGAGUCACAGCCUCACCGAGGACUUCUGAGGUAGCAAGGAAGGAAGGCAGUGUUGACCUGUGAACAUCUUCAAGGAUAUCUCCAGGGCCUGCAUCUUCCCCAAGUGGGAUGGUGGAGGGGACACUCCCAGCUCACACUGAGCACACAAGAAGAGUCAAACAAAGCAGGUACAGUAGGGCAGCUCCUUGUGGCACCAGGAUAAUCAACAAGAAGCUUAGAUGACUGGCUGCAGCAGAAACCACUCCCCAAAGCCCUCCAUUCUGGCAAAAGGCAGCCACAGCAAGCCUACCAUAUCUUCCUCUGUCCAUUCACCUGAACCUAACAAUUAUGAACUGGGACCCUUUAGACACUCUCUGAUAAAAUCUCUCUCAACUGCCAGGGAUAGAGAAACAUGGAUAUCCGCUCCUACUCCAACCAUCAAAUCAAUGGAAGAAUAAAAAAAACAAAAAAUCAGUAUAGUAGUUCUCUUUGAUCUGCAGGGCAGACCUUCCGAAACCUACUGGAUACAUGAAACUGUGGGUAGUACCAAACCCUACAUAUACUACAUUUUCCAC